rnacentral:rRNA from 1 species
ACAGAUGGGAGCUUGCUCCCUGAUGUUAGCGGCGGACGGGUGAGUAACACGUGGGUAACCUGCCUGUAAGACUGGGAUAACUCCGGGAAACCGGGGCUAAUACCGGAUGCUUGAUUGAACCGCAUGGUUCAAUUAUAAAAGGUGGCUUUUAGCUACCACUUACAGAUGGACCCGCGGCGCAUUAGCUAGUUGGUGAGGUAACGGCUCACCAAGGCAACGAUGCGUAGCCGACCUGAGAGGGUGAUCGGCCACACUGGGACUGAGACACGGCCCAGACUCCUACGGGAGGCAGCAGUAGGGAAUCUUCCGCAAUGGACGAAAGUCUGACGGAGCAACGCCGCGUGAGUGAUGAAGGUUUUCGGAUCGUAAAACUCUGUUGUUAGGGAAGAACAAGUACCGUUCGAAUAGGGCGGUACCUUGACGGUACCUAACCAGAAAGCCACGGCUAACUACGUGCCAGCAGCCGCGGUAAUACGUAGGUGGCAAGCGUUGUCCGGAAUUAUUGGGCGUAAAGCGCGCGCAGGCGGUUUCUUAAGUCUGAUGUGAAAGCCCCCGGCUCAACCGGGGAGGGUCAUUGGAAACUGGGGAACUUGAGUGCAGAAGAGGAGAGUGGAAUUCCACGUGUAGCGGUGAUAUGCGUAGAGAUGUGGAGGAACACCAGUGGCGAAGGCGACUCUCUGGUCUGUAACUGACGCUGAGGCGCGAAAGCGUGGGGAGCGAACAGGAUUAGAUACCCUGGUAGUCCACGCCGUAAACGAUGAGUGCUAAGUGUUAGAGGGUUUCCGCCCUUU